UGGGGAAUAUUGGACAAUGGGCGAAAGCCUGAUCCAGCCAUGCCGCGUGUGUGAAGAAGGUCUUCGGAUUGUAAAGCACUUUAAGUUGGGAGGAAGGGCAUUAACCUAAUACGUUAGUGUUUUGACGUUACCGACAGAAUAAGCACCGGCUAACUCUGUGCCAGCAGCCGCGGUAAUACAGAGGGUGCAAGCGUUAAUCGGAAUUACUGGGCGUAAAGCGCGCCGAGGUGGUUUGUUAAGUUGGAUGUGAAAUCCACGGGCUCAACCUGGGAACUGCAUUCAAAACUGACUGACUAGAGUAUUGUAGAGGGUGGUGGAAUUUCCUGUGUAGCGGUGAAAUGCGUAGAUAUAGGAAGGAACACCAGUGGCGAAGGCGACCACCUGGACUAAUACUGACACUGAGGUGCGAAAGCGUGGGGAGCAAACA
rnacentral:rRNA from 1 species